UCAUUAUUACAGUAGACUCAGUAUUUCAGUAGAUGGAGUUAGUUGGGGAAUUAUCCCAUCAACUCCAUUUUCAGACAGUUUUAGAUUAGCGACUUUUCAGACUAAUUUCCAGACAGUGUUCAAUUUUACAGAUUGUUAUUUCAGUUGAUACACUUUAUCAGUAUUUAUAGAUUUUGAACCUUGUGGCAUUUUAGCCUAUUUUUCUGUGAGUAUUACAAUAUUAUAUUUCAGUGCUCAUAUCAGGUAUCAGUCAUGGGUUAGCUUGUUGUCUUUCAGUAUCAUAAGCACCAUGUAGCAUCCGGGGUAAAGACUCAGGGCAUUACAUUUUUCUCUCUCCUU
rnacentral:lncRNA from 1 species